GACGAACGCUGGCGGCGUGCUUAACACAUGCAAGUCGAACGGAAAGGCCCUGCUUUUGUGGGGUUCUCGAGUGGCGAACGGGUGAGUAACACGUGAGUAACCUGCCCUUGACUUUGGGAUAACUUCAGGAAACUGGGGCGAAUACCCGAUAUGAGCUCCUGCUGCAUGGUGGGGGUUGGAAAGUUUCGGCGGUUGGGGAUGGACUCGCGGCUUAUCAGCUUGUUGGUGGGGUAGUGGCUUACCAAGGCUUUGACGGGUAUCCGGGCUGAGAGGGUGAGCGGCCACAUUGGGACUGAGAUACGGCCCAGACUCGUACGGGAGGCAGCAGUGGGGAAUAUUGCACUAUGGGCGGAAGCAUGAUGCAGCAACGCCGCGUGCGGGAUGACGGGCUUCGGGUUGUAAACCGCUUUCGCCUGUGACGAAGCGUGAGUGACGGUAAUGGGUAAAGAAGCACCGGCUAACUACGUG
rnacentral:rRNA from 1 species